CAGCCGCCGCGGUAAUACGUAGGUGGCAAGCGUUGUCCGGAAUUAUUGGGCGUAAAGGGCUCGCAGGCGGUUUCUUAAGUCUGAUGUGAAAGCCCCCGGCUCAACCGGGGAGGGUCAUUGGAAACUGGGAAACUUGAGUGCAGAAGAGGAGAGUGGAAUUCCACGUGUAGCGGUGAAAUGCGUAGAGAUGUGGAGGAACACCAGUGGCGAAGGCGACUCUCUGGUCUGUAACUGACGCUGAGGAGCGAAGGCGUGGGGAGCGAACAGGAUUAGAUACCCCAGUAGUCCCUGUCUCUUAUAC
rnacentral:rRNA from 1 species